AUACUUACCUGGCAGGGGAAAUACACGAUCAAGAAGGUGGUAUUUCCCAGGGCGAGGCUCCUCCCUUGCACUCCGAGUGUGCCGACCCUUGCGAUUUCCCCAAAUGUGUGAAAGAAACUCAGCUGCAUAAUUUGUGGUCGUGGGGGACUGCGUUUGUGCUCUCCCCUU
ensembl:snRNA U1 U1 spliceosomal RNA